AUUUUACGACUGGGACCAAUACUGCCAGUGUCGAUACAAAGCCUAAAACAAAGAUAAAUAAACACAAGGUUUCUUUACAAGAUGUUCUGGAGUUCCUGAAGUCAGGACGCCAGAUGCCAGCGCACUUGGAAAAUUUGGAGAAGACCACGAGGAGAAAAGCCUUCCAUGCGCUUUCAGAAUUCUCAAGAAACUUUGUGUAUGAAGCUGUUAUUAUUUACUUGGUUUUUACUUGGCUUUGGGUGGAUUUGUGAUUUAUUUUAUGCUUUGGAUUUACUGGAAAUAUAUUGCUUGGUAUUAUUGUGGCCAGAGCCAAGUUUCCUCAUCAAAGAUUUGCAAUGGAUUGUCUAUGAUUUAUUUCAUUCCUACUGGGUAUUGUUGCUUGGUAUUAUUCAUUGGAAAAUGAAUUCCAACUUAGUGAAAGCUAGCUAAAUAAAUAACAGUCUUUAUUACAUUGGUCAACAUGGAAAGAAAGGCGAAAAACGAUCAGGUACCAAAAAAAGCAAAGGUACUAUUUAACAGGGAUGAGGUUAGUAUAGUAUGCAUUAUGCAAUUAGUAAAUUAGUAAAAUACCCAUGUAAAUUCACCACUUAUAACUUGUUUUAGAUUGAUCG